CAGUAGCCGCGGUAAUACGUAGGGUGCGAGCGUUGUCCGGAAUUAUUGGGCGUAAAGAGCUUGUAGGCGGUCUGUCGCGUCUGCUGUGAAAACCCGAGGCUCAACCUCGGGCCUGCAGUGGGUACGGGCAGACUAGAGUGCGGUAGGGGAGAACGGAACUCCUGGUGUAGCGGUGGAAUGCGCAGAUAUCAGGAAGAACACCGAUGGCGAAGGCAGUUCUCUGGGCCGUAACUGACGCUGAGAAGCGAAAGCGUGGGGAGCGAACAGGAUUAGAUACCCGAGUAGUCCCUGUCUCUUAUAC
rnacentral:rRNA from 1 species